UUAAUACCUCGAGUACGGCUGC
rnacentral:piRNA from 1 species